GGGCUAUCCCCGCGAAAAUGCUUCACGACUGUUCCCCUCAGCAGACUCAACGUGUUUUUCUUCCUUUCGGCACCUCUCUGCGAACUUUAGACUUCGCAGCUGCAGACCUGUGGCGAACCAACAGCCCAAGGACAGAUGGUGUGCAGUUUGACGCGCUCACGGUGCGGGUAUCGCACUAAAACUGCAGAAAUAUGCGCCAUCGAAAGUAGGAAUUGUGCAUAUUGUCGGCUCCUAAUUUCCACUAAUCCUACAAGACGCAUUUCCAGGCAGAAGAUAAACUUGACCAUAAACAAUUUGAGCUGACGAA
rnacentral:lncRNA from 1 species